GUAGGGGAACCUGCGGCUGGAUCACCUCCUUUCUAAGGAUGGUUCUUCAGAAGCUUGCUUCUAUCGAACCGUUUUAGAAACAUCAGUGGCCAACGAUCGUCAGGAUCGUUGAGCUGCAUUGGCGGGAUUUCGCCGUCUUCGUUUCUCUUUCUUCGCGGACGAACACGCGCUGGGCCUGCGAGAGCAGGGUCCCUGGUCCUUGACGGGAUAUGCGUUAGGGGCUUGUAGCUCAGUUGGUUAGAGCGCGCGCUUGAUAAGCGUGAGGUCGGAAGUUCAAGUCUUCCCAGGCCCACCACACUCAUCGGGUAAGCAUUCGUCUUCUGGUUACGGGGCCAUAGCUCAGCUGGGAGAGCGCGUGCUUUGCAAGCAUGAGGUCGUCGGUUCGAUCCCGUCUGGCUCCACCAGAUGGUUUGAUCACCGACGCUGUGUUUGCAGCUAUUCAACCGUCGUCCGCGAAACAUCACUUCGCACCUACUAGUCUGGAUAGACAGUAGGUUGCGUGAUUUCUGACAUCGUAAAGAGGAGAUCGAUCCGAGUUGGAUCGGGCAGCAAGCAAUUGCUGCGCGAACCUUCAUUAUCUCCGGAUCAUUUCGGCGCUCGCGCGCCUUUCAAUGCGGCUCACAAGGCUGCGUCUGAGGGGAAUGCGGGUUGUAAAUGAUCCUUUUAGCGAAGCUUGACCGCCUCGCUAUCGGAACGAUCUUACGAAGCAAGCUGGUCUUUCUAAUCAUUGUCCGGCUGUACGUAGCGUUCAUCGAGGGCGCGUGCCGCAAGGCAAUCGUACAGACAACAUUCUGCCGAGUGUGUGGACAUUGAUAAUGAGAGC
rnacentral:tRNA from 2 species